rnacentral:rRNA from 1 species
GACGAACCGUGCGAACGUUAUUCGGAAUCACUGGGCUUAAAGCGCGUGUAGGCGGGCGGGCGCGUCGGCCGCUGAAAUCCCCCGGCUCAACCGGGGAAGGGGCGCCGAGACGGCCGGCCUGGAGGGACGUAGGGGGGGCUGGAACUUCCGGUGGAGCGGUGAAAUGCGUUGAGAUCGGAAGGAACGCCCGUGGCGAAAGCGAGCCCCUGGACGUCUACUGACGCUGAGACGCGAAAGCCAGGGGAGCGAACGGG